AAGUAACACAUUCUAUGUUAGUUAUGUUAAUACAACUAAUAUAAGUCAUAAAGUUGUAAAAAAAAAAAAAAACCUAUGUGUACACAUUUAUAAGCAAAUUUUAUUUUAUCUAACAAGAAAAAAAUUUCAAAAAAAAAAAAAAAAAAAAAAGCAUCAACUAAUACUAGGAUCAAUAAGAUAGAUGUUUUAUAUUAUUUUUACAUUAGACUUGCUACAUUAUUUAUUUUAAAAUAAGCAUUUUAUUAAAUAAAAACGGUUGGUACAAAUAAGUUGAGUUAUUAAAUAUGUGAUAUUUACAGAUGCAUGAUUAUAUUUGUUUUUAUAUAUCAAUACACUAAUCAUGGGUUAAAUAAAAUGAGGCUUAUAUUUUUUAAAAAAAAAAAAAAAUAAUAGCUAUAUAUUUGAGAUAAAAAAAAAAAGGGUUAUUUGUUUUUUAAACUAUAAUUAGAAAAAAAAAAUAAAAUAAAAAAUUUACAUUACAUUGUUUUUAUUUUCUAUUUUAAUUUUUUUUUAAAUAAUUAUAAAGUUAGAUAUACAAUAUUUCUACUUUAAAUAAUAUUGACUUAGGGUUACCAUAUUAUUAGUUUAUUAUUUAUUCACAUUUUGAUUUAUUUUGGUAACUUUUUUUUUUUUUUUAUUAUAUGUUUUAGUGAUAAAAUAUUUGACUGCUUUUUCUAUAUAUAACAAAAGAAAUUAGUUGCAUGCUAAAUUUUUUUUUAUAUAAAUAUAGGAGUCGUCAAAAGUGACCACUAUUAUCAUAGGAUAAAAGUGUUAUUUAUUGCUAUUAUGAAUUUACUAAUAUAUAUAUAUAGAUUAUAUAAAAUAUUGUAUAUUUGUGAUUUUAUAUAUACAGUAAAAGAAAAAAAAAAAAUAAAAAAGAAGCCAACUUACGAGAUUUACAUUAUUAUGCAAUUCUAAUUAUAUUGAAACAAAAUUAAAUCUAUACAAAAUGGCGGAAGCCCUGAGUAAGUUACCCUCUAAAAUAUAUUACAAUAAGUUGUUGAAUAAAAGCGAUCUUGAUUAUUAUGUUGAUAGUACACAUGUAAAGCAUAUAGAUAAAAGUGUUGAGAAUGUCACACAUGCAAAAGAAAUUAUGAUGAUGCUUGAAAAAAAUAUAGAUGUAUUAUAUAAUACUGAAGACAAAAGUUUUCAUCAAAAGCAUUGUUUCGAUUUGAAUUUUUGGUUAUAUAGUACAAUACAUAAAAAUCUUACUAAACCUAAAAACUUGUCUAAAUUGUUUCAAGCACUUGAUGAAUAUUAUAAAGAAUGGGAUAAAAUAAACAAGGAUAAAAAGUUAAAAAAAGAUUUCAUAUGCAAACCAGAUAGAAGUUUAGUUGGUAUAAAGUUUUUGAGGGAGGUUAAACAAUUGUUUGAUUAUUUUGAAAAUUAUGAAUUUGUUAAAAAUGAGGCAAAGAAAAAUUGUGAUGAAGCUUGUAAUAAAUAUUAUACAUCAUUAAAAAAGUUAAUUCCAAUUUAUUACAGAUGGUUAGCUAUAUGUAAAUUGAAAAGAAAAAAUAUAUGCAAUAAAUAUAUUUCGAAUCUUGACGAGUUUGCUCCAAAAUCAAUCUUAAAACAUGUUAAUCUUGUUAGUCUUGCGUUUUCAGCCUUAGUGAAUACGUGUUUUAAAAAUGUUAUUAAUUUAGUAAAAGAAUCUGAACAAUUGGAACCUCGCACAAAUGUAUUAGUUAGAAGUUCUAAAAAUAAACCUAGGAUUGUAAAAUUAAUAAAAAAUAGAGCAUUAGCUGACGCAGAAGGUGAUAUAUUUGGAAUAGUUUUUAAAAAUAAUAACUAUGAUUUAUUAAGUUAUAUAGUAUGUUUUUUGAACACAGCAUAUUCGUAUAUUAGUGAAAAUAUUGUUUUAGUAGGUUCCUUUAUUUUAGGAAUGUUAUUUGUUUUCGGUAUUUUGUACGAAGUAAGAAAUAUUGCUAAAAAAAAAAAAAAUAUUAAAUAAAUACCUUAUUUUGUUUUUGAAAACAUAUUGUCAUAAAGAGUAGUAAUAAAAAAAAAAAAAAUAUAUUAAAUAAAUACCUU
ensembl:lncRNA